AGAGAGAGACAUGCGCGCAUAUCAAUAAGCGGAGGAAAAGAAACUAACAAGGAUUCCCUUAGUAACGGCGAGUGAAGCGGGAAGAGCUCAAAUUUGAAAUCUUCAAGGUUCUACCUUGACGAAUUGUAGUUUAUAGAAGUGUUUUCUGUUAGUGGAGUGGCAAAAGUCCUUUGGAAUAGGACAUCAUAGAGGGUGAGAAUCCCGUAUUUGUACCAUUAUCUCCUAACUUUGUGAUACACUUUCAACGAGUCGGAUUGUUUGGGAAUGCAGUCCAAAAUAGGUGGUAAAUUUCAUCUAAAGCUAAAUAUUGGCGAGAGACCGAUAGCGAACAAGUACCGUGAGGGAAAGAUGAAAAGGAACUUUGAAAAGAGAGUUAAACAGUACGUGAAAUUGUCAAAAGGGAAGCGUUUGACACCAGUGUUGUUUUUCCGAAAAUCAAUUACGAAUGUUUUAUUUUUGAGGAGUUAUGACUUCAUCGGCUUGCUCCUUUCUUUAUGAAACUUUCUUAAUGCACUUUUCGGUUAACAAGUCAACAUCAAUUUCUUUUGUUGUAAAAGGGUAUGAGGAAGGUGGCUUUCUUUUCGGAGAAAGUGUUUAUAGCCUUGUAGCCUCUGCAAUCGGAGAGAUUGAGGUCUGCAGCGUAGAUCCUUCGGGGUUAGAUACAGUUUGUGCUAAGUUAUAGCUUGUCAUAGACAACUUGUUGACUAUGUUUAGUCUUGUAGCUUACUCGCUGACGCUAUUUUACCUACGCUUAGGAUGUUGAUAGUCACAGCGUGUAC
rnacentral:rRNA from 1 species